AUUAGAGUUUGAUCUGGCUCAGGACGAACGCUGGCGGCGUGCCUAAUACAUGCGAGUCGAGCGGACAGAUGGGAGCUUGCUCCCUGAUGUUAGCGGCGGACGGGUGAGUAACACGUGGGUAACCUGCCUGUAAGACUGGGAUAACUCCGGGAAACCGGGGCUAAUACCGGAUGCUUGUUUGAACCGCAUGGUUCAAACAUAAAAGGUGGCUUCGGCUACCACUUACAGAUGGACCCGCGGCGCAUUAGCUAGUUGGUGAGGUAACGGCUCACCAAGGCAACGAUGCGUAGCCGACCUGAGAGGGUGAUCGGCCACACUGGGACUGAGACACGGCCCAGACUCCUACGGGAGGCAGCAGUAGGGAAUCUUCCGCAAUGGACGAAAGUCUGACGGAGUAACGCCGCGUGAGUGAUGAAGGUUUUCGGAUCGUAAAGCUCUGUUGUUAGGGAAGAACAAGUACCGUUCAAAUAGGGCGGUACCUUGACGGUACCUAACCAGAAAGCCACGGCUAACUACGUGCCAGCAGCCGCGGUAAUACGUAGGUGGCAAGCGUUGUCCGGAAUUAUUGGGCGUAAAGGGCUCGCAGGCGGUUUCUUAAGUCUGAUGUGAAAGCCCCCGGCUCAACCCGGGGAGGGUCAUUGGAAACUGGGGAACUUGAGUGCAGAAGAGGAGAGUGGAAUUUCCACGUGUAGCGGUGAAAUGCGUAGAGAUGUGGAGGAACACCAGUGGCGAAGGCGACUCUCUGGUCUGUAACUGACGCUGAGGAGCGAAAGCGUGGGGAGCGAACAGGAUUAGAUACCCUGGUAGUCCACGCCGUAAACGAUGAGUGCUAAGUGUUAAGGGGGUUUCCGCCCCUUAGUGCUGCAGCUAACGCAUUAAGCACUCCGCCUGGGGAGUACGGUCGCAAGACUGAAACUCAAAGGAAUUUGACGGGGGCCCGCACAAGCGGUGGAGCAUGGUGGUUUAAUUCGAAGCAACGCGAAGAACCUUACCAGGUCUUGACAUCCUCUGACAAUCCUAGAGAUAGGACGUCCCCUUCGGGGGCAGAGUGACAGGUGGUGCAUGGUUGUCGUCAGCUCGUGUCGUGAGAUGUUGGGUUAAGUCCCGCAACGAGCGCAACCCUUGAUCUUAGUUGCCAGCAUUCAGUUGGGCACUCUAAGGUGACUGCCGGUGACAAACCGGAGGAAGGUGGGGAUGACGUCAAAUCAUCAUGCCCCUUAUGACCUGGGCUACACACGUGCUACAAUGGACAGAACAAAGGGUAGCGAAACCGCGAGGUUAAGCCAAUCCCACAAAUCUGUUCUCAGUUCGGAUCGCAGUCUGCAACUCGACUGCGUGAAGCUGGAAUCGCUAGUAAUCGCGGAUCAGCAUGCCGCGGUGAAUACGUUCCCGGGCCUUGUACACACCGCCCGUCACACCACGAGAGUUUGUAACACCCGAAGUCGGUGAGGUAACCUUUUAGGAGCCAGCCGCCGAAGGUGGGACAGAUGAUUGGGGUGAAGUCGUAACAAGGUAGCCGUAUCGGAAGGUGCGGCUGGAUCACCUCCUUAAU
rnacentral:rRNA from 1 species